GAUGAACGCUGGCGGCGUGCCUAAUACAUGCAAGUCGAGCGAACGGACGAGAAGCUUGCUUCUCUGAUGUUAGCGGCGGACGGGUGAGUAACACGUGGAUAACCUACCUAUAAGACUGGGAUAACUUCGGGAAACCGGAGCUAAUACCGGAUAAUAUUUUGAACCGCAUGGUUCAAAAGUGAAAGACGGUCUUGCUGUCACUUAUAGAUGGAUCCGCGCUGCAUUAGCUAGUUGGUAAGGUAACGGCUUACCAAGGCAACGAUGCAUAGCCGACCUGAGAGGGUGAUCGGCCACACUGGAACUGAGACACGGUCCAGACUCCUACGGGAGGCAGCAGUAGGGAAUCUUCCGCAAUGGGCGAAAGCCUGACGGAGCAACGCCGCGUGAGUGAUGAAGGUCUUCGGAUCGUAAAACUCUGUUAUUAGGGAAGAACAUAUGUGUAAGUAACUGUGCACAUCUUGACGGUACCUAAUCAGAAAGCCACGGCUAACUACGUGCCAGCAGCCGCGGUAAUACGUAGGUGGCAAGCGUUAUCCGGAAUUAUUGGGCGUAAAGCGCGCGUAGGCGGUUUUUUAAGUCUGAUGUGAAAGCCCACGGCUCAACCGUGGAGGGUCAUUGGAAACUGGAAAACUUGAGUGCAGAAGAGGAAAGUGGAAUUCCAUGUGUAGCGGUGAAAUGCGCAGAGAUAUGGAGGAACACCAGUGGCGAAGGCGACUUUCUGGUCUGUAACUGACGCUGAUGUGCGAAAGCGUGGGGAUCAAACAGGAUUAGAUACCCUGGUAGUCCACGCCGUAAACGAUGAGUGCUAAGUGUUAGGGGGUUUCCGCCCCUUAGUGCUGCAGCUAACGCAUUAAGCACUCCGCCUGGGGAGUACGACCGCAAGGUUGAAACUCAAAGGAAUUGACGGGGACCCGCACAAGCGGUGGAGCAUGUGGUUUAAUUCGAAGCAACGCGAAGAACCUUACCAAAUCUUGACAUCCUUUGACAACUCUAGAGAUAGAGCCUUCCCCUUCGGGGGACAAAGUGACAGGUGGUGCAUGGUUGUCGUCAGCUCGUGUCGUGAGAUGUUGGGUUAAGUCCCGCAACGAGCGCAACCCUUAAGCUUAGUUGCCAUCAUUAAGUUGGGCACUCUAAGUUGACUGCCGGUGACAAACCGGAGGAAGGUGGGGAUGACGUCAAAUCAUCAUUCCCCUUAUGAUUUGGGCUACACACGUGCUACAAUGGACAAUACAAAGGGCAGCGAAACCGCGAGGUCAAGCAAAUCCCAUAAAGUUGUUCUCAGUUCGGAUUGUAGUCUGCAACUCGACUACAUGAAGCUGGAAUCGCUAGUAAUCGUAGAUCAGCAUGCUACGGUGAAUACGUUCCCGGGUCU
rnacentral:rRNA from 1 species